rnacentral:rRNA from 1 species
AGAUGGAUGAGCCUGCGUUGGAUUAGCUAGUUGGUGGGGUAAGGGCCUACCAAGGCUACGAUCCAUAGCUGAUUUGAGAGGAUGAUCAGCCACAUUGGGACUGAGACACGGCCCAAACUCCUACGGGAGGCAGCAGUGAGGAAUAUUGGACAAUGGGGGCAACCCUGAUCCAGCAAUGCCAUGUGUGUGAAGAAGGCCUUAGGGUUGUAAAGCACUUUAGUUGGGGAAGAAAGCUUUGAGGUUAAUAGCCUUGAGGAAAAGGACGUUACCCAAAGAAUAAGCACCGGCUAACUCCGUGCCAGCAGCCGCGGUAAUACGGGGGGUGCAAGCGUUAAUCGGAAUUACUGGGCGUAAAGGGUCUGUAGGUGGUUUGUUAAGUCAGAUGUGAAAGCCUAGGGCUCAACCUUGGAACUGCAUUUGAUACUGGUAAACUAGAGUACGGUAGAGGAAUGGGGAAUUUCUGGUGUAGCGGUGAAAUGCGUAGAGAUCAGAAGGAACACCAAUGGCGAAGGCAACAUUCUGGACCGAUACUGACACUGAGGGACGAAAGCGUGGGGAUCAAACAGGAUUAGAUACCCUGGUAGUCCACGCUGUAAACGAUGAGUACUAGCUGUUGGAGUCGGUGUAAAGGCUCUAGUGGCGCAGCUAACGCGAUAAGUACUCCGCCUGGGGACUACGGCCGCAAGGCUAAAACUCAAAGGAAUUGACGGGGACCCGCACAAGCGGUGGAGCAUGUAGUUUAAUUCGAUGCAA